rnacentral:rRNA from 1 species
ACUUAAAUUGAAGAGUUUGAUCAUGGCUCAGAUUGAACGCUGGCGGCAGGCCUAACACAUGCAAGUCGAACGGUAGCACAGAGAGCUUGCUCUCGGGUGACGAGUGGCGGACGGGUGAGUAAUGUCUGGGAAACUGCCUGAUGGAGGGGGAUAACUACUGGAAACGGUAGCUAAUACCGCAUAACGUCGCAAGACCAAAGAGGGGGACCUUCGGGCCUCUUGCCAUCAGAUGUGCCCAGAUGGGAUUAGCUAGUAGGUGGGGUAACGGCUCACCUAGGCGACGAUCCCUAGCUGGUCUGAGAGGAUGACCAGCCACACUGGAACUGAGACACGGUCCAGACUCCUACGGGAGG